rnacentral:rRNA from 1 species
AGAGUUUGAUCAUGGCUCAGGACGAACGCUGGCGGCGUGCUUAACACAUGCAAGUCGAACGGAUUGUCAGGAGCUUGCUCCUGACAGUUAGUGGCGAACGGGUGAGUAACACGUGAGUAACCUGCCCCCUACUCUGGGAUAACCUCGGGAAACCGAAGCUAAUACCGGAUACGACGCGCGACGGCAUCGUCUGCGCGUGGAAAGAAUUUCGGUGGGGGAUGGACUCGCGGCCUAUCAGCUAGUUGGUGAGGUAACGGCCCACCAAGGCGACGACGGGUAGCCGGCCUGAGAGGGUGACCGGCCACACUGGGACUGAGACACGGCCCAGACUCCUACGGGAGGCAGCAGUGGGGAAUAUUGCACAAUGGGCGCAAGCCUGAUGCAGCAACGCCGCGUGAGGGACGACGGCCUUCGGGUUGUAAACCUCUUUUAGUAGGGAAGAAGAAGCUUGCUUUGACGGUACCUGCAGAAAAAGCACCAGCUAACUACGUGCCAGCAGCCGCGGUAAUA